rnacentral:tRNA from 2 species
UGGGGCAUAGCCAAGUGGUAAGGCUGCGGACUUUGACUCCGCCAUACGGCGGUUCGAGUCCGCCUGCCCCAG